ACCUACGGGACGCAGCAGUGGGGAAUAUUGCACAAUGGGGGGAACCCUGAUGCAGCGACGCCGCGUGGGUGAGGAAGUACUUCGGUAUGUAAAGCCCUAUCAGCAGGGAAGAAAAUGACGGUACCUGGCUAAGAAGCCCCGGCUAACUACGUGCCAGCAGCCGCGGUAAUACGUAGGGGGCAAGCGUUAUCCGGAUUUACUGGGUGUAAAGGGAGCGUAGACGGCGUGCCAAGUCUGAUGUGAAAGGCCGGGGCUCAACCCCGGGCCUGCAUUGGAA
rnacentral:rRNA from 1 species